rnacentral:rRNA from 1 species
UACGUAGGGGGCAAGCGUUGUUCGGAAUUACUGGGCGUAAAGGGCGCGUAGGCGGCGCAACAAGUCACUUGUGAAAUCUCCGGGCUUAACCCGGAGCGGCCAAGUGAUACUGUCGUGCUAGAGUGCGGAAGGGGCUACUGGAAUUCUCGGUGUAGCGGUGAAAUGCGUAGAUAUCGAGAGGAACACCUGCGGCGAAGGCGGGUAGCUAGGCCGACACUGACGCUGAGGCGCGAAAGCCAGGGGAGCGAACGGG